GUAAAAAAUCCUAGAGCAGCUACGAGUCUCGGAAAAGUCGCUCCCGCGAAAGGCCUACCUCACAUCAGGAAGAUUCAAAAAUUUAUGUUUUGAAAAGCUUUUAUCACAUACACUUGGAAGUUGUUUCUAUAAUAUUUUACAUUACGUUUGUUAAUAUUAUACCUGUUUUGGGGGCGGUUUUUGACAUUUUGUUUAUAUUCCAUGGGACAAUGCAAGAAGCCGGGAACUCAAGUUAAAGCAAUGGCUGGACAGCAGACCACCGAUUUCGGCAUUCUGAUGGAAACCUGUUCACCCGCCGAGGUUAAGGAUUAAAAGUCGAGACUGCCGUGACAACGAUGCUGCUCCUGCCGGAUGUGACGGAACUGGAGUAAUUGCACCAAGAAUGACAAGAAAUCACUACAGACUUUAUUGAAGACUAGAGCGAAUAACAACUCUAUUAUUAUUUAUUUAUUUAUCUAUUUAUUACCAGUUAUAACUUUUAGAUAAUUUCAUUCUGUGUUUGUAUGCUUUGUGUAAAUCGUGUAUUCAUUUAAAGUAUCCUCCAGGCCACCCAAGAAGGAUGGGCCCUGCUGAGUCUGGUUCCUCUCAAGGUUUCUUCCUGUAAUUUUCAGGGAGUUUUUCCUUGCCACAGUCGCCCUCGGCUUGCUCAACAGGGGUUUUUGUAUCUGUUGGUCCUGGAUUUUGUAAAGUUGCUUUGAGACAAUGUCUAUUGUAAAAAGCGCUAUAUAAAUAAAGUUGACUUGACUUGA